AAUACUAACGGGAACGCCCAAUGGAUGACGUAUAACGGUCAUGACAUAAUUAUGUUGUACAUCGCAUGCGCGAAGUCAAUACGGCACAAAUAACUUCCGGCCGUCUGUCAACAUGGCAGAAGCAUUCAACCUCCUGGAAUUUCGAGAACCUGACGGUAUAAUAGAUCUUUUCUUUGCUGAAGAUUUUUUCGAGACGUCUCAACCUGUCGUUCCAGUAGCAUCCGUUCAAACUAAUUCAGCUAAAAUUACUGAGAAAGUUCAAGUAGUGGUUAUAUGAAAAAUGAUCUGAUGUUCACAUGAUCUCAAGGGUUUGCCGAACCUCAAUCGAGUUUAACCCCAACACGGAAUAUUAUACAUCAAAACUGUUCAUCAGUACAUGUAUCUGCCUGUGCAUUUUCUACUAUAAGUUUAUCAUCAUUUGGAACAAUUAGUUAAAUUACUAUUCAAGAUAACUAAUAUAAAAAACAAAAACAACAAUAUGUGGUUGCAAUGAUCCAAGACUCUGUUCAAAGAUAUUUUAUUCACAUGACAGUGAUGCUUGUGAAAAAAAACACUUGUGAAUUUAACAGAUAAUGACCAUU